UACGUAGGGGGCUAGCGUUGUCCGGAAUCAUUGGGCGUAAAGGGCGUGUAGGCGGGUAGGUAAGUCGGGCGUGAAAUCCCUGGGCUCAACCCAGGAACUGCACUCGAAACUACUUUUCUUGAGUGCCGGAGAGGCAAGCGGAAUACCUGGUGUAGAGGUGAAAUUCGUAGAUAUCAGGUGGAACACCAGUGGCGAAGGCGGCUUUCUGGACGGUAACUGACGCUGAGACGCGAAAGCGUGGGGAGCAAACAGG
rnacentral:rRNA from 1 species